rnacentral:lncRNA from 1 species
UGAUAUCGAUUCCGACAACCCCAUGCGGGGUGUCGACACCGGAGAUACAAACCCCAUCUAAUCAGAGGUCUCCUCACCUGCCGUCAAAAUGAGGUGAAAACUCCACGGCCUGGACUCCGACGUUCGCCACAAUGCCAAUCACAGGUUGCAGAUGCACUCCUCGUUAGUGUGAAAGUUUUCUCAAGAAAGAGAAUUUGAGGGGCAUCAAGGUUGUGUUAAUCCCAUUGCUUGGAAUUCGAAUGGAUCAGAUGUCUGGCUCGUGUUUAAUCCCUCAUUCCCCCAAUUUCAGAUUCUUGAAAUCCCUAGGCCUCUAUUCUGUCAUGUUAGUCAAAUUCCAACAGUGAACUUUGUUCCUGUUGAUCUAGCUUCAAAUUUGGUUUUGGUUUGAUCUAGCUUCAAAUUUGGUACUGCUGUGUACACUGAGCACGCCCUCGACUAGGGCCCCGGUGGUGGAGAGAUGACGGUGUUGGAGAGAUGUUGUUCCUGACCAAAAGCCACAACCUCGUCGUCCCUGGUGGUCCCACUGUGCCCAACGUCUCCACCUCCAUCAGGUGCAAUAAAGGCAAGUGCACCAGAAGAUGCCUUUUCAUUUUGUAGACACCAAACGUCUCCACUUUCCAAAUAAUUGAUUAUUUUCUCGGCACCAACAUUUCAUCUUGUCCACCAACAAUUUAAGACUAUUAAAAGAAAGCACAAAUUGUAGUGUGGGAGAAUAUUAUGAGCCUUGGGGGUGGACUCGUGGACCAUGCAUCAAAGAAAGCAAAAGCAGAGAAAGUAAAAGCAGAGAAAGUAAAAGCAGAGAAAGCAAAAGCAGAAAAUAAAAGUAGAGAAAGCAAAAGCAGAAAGUAAAAGCAGAAAGCAAAAGCAAAAAGCAAAAGAGGAUAAAAAGAAGCAGACAUAAUUGCGAUGGUGAUGGCAUGCAGAAGAGGGAAUUAUGGACGUGACCCAUUGAGCAGAUGGUCGGAUUUAUUUUUCAAUGAUGUAAUUUAUUUUUUUUAUCUUUCAGAGAUAUCUGUAUAACCCCAUCAAAGGGUAAUAAUAAUAAAAUAAAAUAAAACAAAAAAAAAACGGCAAGCCCAAAAUAAAGGGGCUGGAAUGUUGUGUGGAGGGCGAAGGCCCAUAAGCCCAAAAUAGCACCAACCAGGUGACCAAAAGUACGUCCAGUACUACAAAACAUUAUUAGGCACCCUGCCGCUAUUAUCACCAACCAGGUGACCAAAAGUACGCCAAGUACUACAAAAAAUUAUUCGGCACCCCGCCGCUAUUAUCGCCAACCAGGUGAUCAAAAGUACGCCCAGUACUCCAAAAUAUUCGGCAGCCUACCGCAAUUAUUGUUGGAAAUGUGCCCUAAAACCAAUCAUAUGAUGAUACUUUACGGACAUUUCACAUGUUAAACUAAU